CCAAAUCAAAAUUAGGCAUAUUAUUGCACUUGUUCGUAUUCAAAUCGCAUUUUAAUACAAGCACUCAGUGGAAUAACGUUUCAAGUGACUUAUUUAUUGUGUGUACAAUGGCAAAAAGUAAGUGUCCUCGUGUGCUUGAUAAGUGUGUUAGAGGCUCCAAAAGGAAAAUAAAUUUAGAAAAUUGGAAAGAUUUCAAUAAUUAAAAGCUAAGAAAUAGUGGGCAAUCUUAUAUUAAUAGAAAAAAACAAGUUAUACCAGCAAAAAAUGUCCCAAAGCAAGUUUAGUGGAAAAACGUUUUAAAAUUGAGCGAGCCUAAAAGAAGAAGAGUUGAAGAGAGGAGUUCUAUACGAAAUACAACAGUAUUUUAUUUUUUGGUGCUUUCAAACGGAAAAAGAGAGAGAGUGUGCAAAAAAAGGUUUUGUCACACAUUUGAGGUAACGCAGCGCAGAGUUCAAAUUUUGGUUGAAAAAGUAAAAUAUGGGAAAACAUUGAUGAUCAGCGAGGAAAACAUGAAAAUCGUCCCCACAAAAUCAUAGAACAGGAAAAACUGAGCGUUGAUGAACACAUAGUAAGCUUUCCCAGCCAAGAAAGUCACUAUGGUCGUUCAACAUCUCGAAAAAAUUGUCUUAACCCCAAUUUAAAUAUUAAAACAAUGUACGAGUUAUACAAAGUUAAAUAUCCGGAUAGCCAAAUUUCAUACAACACAUAUAAGCACAUUUUUCAUACAGAACACAAACUACGAUUUGGUUUCCCAAGAAGUGAUACUUGCAAAGUUUGUACAAGUAAAAGACAAUGUUUCAUUAUUUUAUUCAGAAAUUGAAGUCUAAUCAUCUCUUAUUUUGGGCCAUAACAUUUAAAAUCUCUUCCUCCGUCACAUCUAUAUCUCUAUGGAUAUUCAAGAGAGCCAUUCCGUUCAGGCGUGCUUCUCCAGUUUUAUUUCUUAAAUAUUUUUUAAGCCUGCGAAGUGAGGAAAACGAGCGUUCACUUGAAGCGACAGAUAUAGGGAUUGUUGCUCCAAUCUUUAAAAAACGAUGCACUGUUUUGAAAAUGUUUGCAUCGCAACAAUUCAACGCGUCUAAAAAAGUUUUGGAUCUCUUUGUUUGAUUUAACCAGUUCCUGAAACUAUAUUCAAAAUUUUAGUUAGAAAAUUUAAUCUGAAGAAAAGAUUUUUAACCUUUUCCACAUUCUAAAUUCAGCAACGAAAUCAUCGGGACCUCAGCGUUUUUUUAUUUAAAAUUAUCACGUACUUGAAUCUAAUCUACGUAAUAAUUAAAAAAAAAAGCAAAAACCAAAAACACAAACAAAAAAAAUUAAAAAUUUGAAAAAUACAAAAAAAUUAAAAAAAAAAUAUUAAAAAAUAAAAAAAAACAAAAAGAGAUUAAAUGUCUGCUAUGUUCACGUCGUUAAUCCUGGGUUACGCUAAAUUCUGAUAAUAAUAGUGCAUAAAUCAAUGAUUUUUCAUCAUGUUCUGAGUUGGUUUUUUAUUUGUAGCUUAUACAAAUAUUGCUGUCUCAAAAUUCCCUUUGGGGGGUAAAAAAGUGAUGAAAUAAGGAACAUUUUAAGAUAUUUUCGAAAAAAUCGAAGGGGGCAUAAGUUGUUAAAAAUUCCAAAAAAAAAAUUUUUCAUUUUUUGCUAUGAAAUAUUAAUUUUAAAAAAUUUUACGAUAUACAGUUUCAAAGUGUGAGAAAUUCUGUACAAAAAAGUCACAUGUUGUUUUAAAAUCUGUUCAUUAGUUUUAAAGUUAUGGCGGUUCGAAAAUUUUUUUUAUAAAAAACUUUGGCCCCUUAUAAUAUGGCAACCCCGCGUUACACAGACCUAAAACCAUAUGUUUUAUUUUAGGUUUUACACGUACUAUAAGAUAUAUCAUUGCCAAAGAAAAUAAAGAACUUUUUUUUUCAAGUGGCUUUUUUUCCAGA